GCCUGCUUAGCAUAGUGGCUAAUGCGUUGCACUUGUAUAACGACCUAGCCCCUUAAGGGAUUGGGUAACGACGACAUGCAAAGAUCACAGGUUCGAUUCCUGUAGUAGGCA